rnacentral:rRNA from 3 species
UACGGAGGGGGCUAGCGUUGUUCGGAAUUACUGGGCGUAAAGCGCACGUAGGCGGUGGCGCAUGUCAGAUGUGAAAGCCCUGGGCUUAACCUAGGAAUUGCAUUUGAAACUGCGCCGCUAGAGGCCGGAAGAGGGUAGUGGAAUUCCCAGUGUAGAGGUGAAAUUCGUAGAUAUUGGGAAGAACACCGGUGGCGAAGGCGGCUACCUGGUCCGGUUCUGACGCUGAGGUGCGAAAGCGUGGGGAGCAAACAGG